GCCCAGGUAGCUCAGUCGGUAGAGCACGUCCUUGGUAAGGACGAGGUCGGCGGUUCAAGCCCGCUCCUGGGCU
rnacentral:tRNA from 1 species